rnacentral:rRNA from 1 species
GUGUCAGCCGCCGCGGUAAUACGUAGGGGGCGAGCGUUGUCCGGAAUGACUGGUCGUAAAGGGCGCGUAGGUGGCCUUACAAGUCUGGAGUGAAAGUCCCGUUUUUAAGGUGGGAAUGGCUUUGGAAACUGUAAGGCUUGAGUGUGGGAGAGGAUAGCGGAAUUCCCGGUGUAGCGGUGAAAUGCGUAGAGAUCGGGAGGAACACCAGUGGCGAAGGCGGCUAUCUGGACCAAGACUGACACUGAAGCGCGAAAGCGUGGGUAGCAAACAGGAUUAGAUACCCUGGUAGUCCACGCUGAAAACGAUGGAUGCUAGGUGUAGGAGGUAUCGACCCCUUCUGUGCCGGAGUUAACACAAUAAGCAUCCCGCCUGGGGAGUACGGCCGCAAGGUUGAAACUUAAAGGAAUUGGCGG